rnacentral:rRNA from 1 species
ACUCAAAGGAAUUGACGGGGGCCCGCACAAGCGGUGGAGCAUGUGGUUCAAUUCGACGCAACGCGAAGAACCUUACCUGGGCUUGAAGAGCAGGUCAACGGCGGUGGAAACAUCGCUACCCCGCAAGGGGGUCCUGUAGAGGUGCUGCAUGGCUGUCGUCAGCUCGUGUCGUGAGAUGUUGGGUUAAGUCCCGCAACGAGCGCAACCCUUGUCCUGUGUUGCCAUCAUUCAGUUGGGAACUCGCAGGAGACCGCCAGCGAUAAGUUGGAGGAAGGUGGGGAUGACGUCAAGUCCUCAUGGCCUUUAUGUCCAGGGCUACACACGUGCUACAAUGGCCGGUACAAAGCGUCCCGAACCCGCGAGGGGAAGGCAAUCGCAAAAAACCGGUCUCAGUUCGGAUUGCAGGCUGCAACUCGCCUGCAUGAAGCUGGAAUCGCUAGUAAUGGCAGAUCAGCACGCUGCCGUGAAUACGUUCCCGGGCCUUGUACACACCGCCCGU